UACGAAGGGGGCUAGCGUUGCUCGGAAUCACUGGGCGUAAAGGGUGCGUAGGCGGGUCUUUAAGUCAGGGGUGAAAUCCUGGAGCUCAACUCCAGAACUGCCUUUGAUACUGAGGAUCUUGAGUUCGGAAGAGGUGAGUGGAAUUGCGAGUGUAGAGGUGAAAUUCGUAGAUAUUCGCAGGAACACCAGUGGCGAAGGCGGCUCACUGGUCCGAUACUGACGCUGAGGUGCGAAAGCGUGGGGAGCAAACAGG
rnacentral:rRNA from 1 species